UAUAAUUUUUAACUCUUCGUCUUAUUCAAAUUUUUUUCGAUUGAUAUUUUUUUAUUAGAUGAUAAAUCAUGAAUAGUACUUUACGUGUGACUAAUUUUCUUCUAAUUUCCUAAAAAAUUUUAAAUAAAACAGAUGGUUAAACGUUGAACAUGAAAACCGAAG
rnacentral:pre_miRNA from 1 species